rnacentral:rRNA from 1 species
GAUAAACGCUGGCGGCGUGCCUAACACAUGCAAGUCGAACGCCCUUUUGCGCAAGUGAGAGGGAGUGGCGGACGGGUGAGUAGCACGUGGGUACCUACCCCAAGAUGAGGAAUACCACCGAGAAAUCGGUGACAAGACCGCAUACCUUCGGCCACGAAGAAAGCUUCUCCUCACGAGAGGCGUCUUGGGAUGGGCCUGCGCCUGAUUAGCUGGUUGGUGAGGUAACAGCUCACCAAGGCGACGAUCAGUAGCUGGUCUGAGAGGAUGAUCAGCCACACUGGGAUUGAGAACGGCCCAGACUCCUACGGGGGCAGCAGUGAGGAAUUUUCGUCAAUGGGGGCAACCCUGAACGAGCAACGCCGCGUGCAGAAUGACACUUUUCGGAGACGUAAACU